UACUCGAGUGGCGAACGGGUGAGUAACACGUGGGCGAUCUGCCUUGCACUUCGGGAUAAGCCUGGGAAACUGGGUCUAAUACCGGAUAGGACCAUGCUUUAGUGUGUGUGGUGGAAAGUUUUUCGGUGCAAGAUGAGCCCGCGGCCUAUCAGCUUGUUGGUGGGGUAAUGGCCUACCAAGGCGACGACGGGUAGCCGGCCUGAGAGGGUGUACGGCCACAUUGGGACUGAGACACGGCCCAG
rnacentral:rRNA from 1 species